rnacentral:rRNA from 1 species
UACAUACUGUGCGAACGUUAUUCGGAUUCACUGGGCUUAAAGGGUGCGUAGGCGGCUUGUUAAGUAGGGUGUGAAAUCCCCCAGCUCAACUGGGGAACUGCAUUCUAAACUGGCGAGCUAGAGUGAGAUAGGGGUGUGUGGAACUGCCAGUGGAGCGGUGAAAUGUGUUGAUAUUGGCAGGAACGCCGGUGGCGAAAGCGGCACACUGGGUCUCAACUGACGCUGAGGCACGAAAGCCAGGGGAGCGAACGGG